rnacentral:rRNA from 1 species
UUGAACGCUGGCGGCAUGCCUUACACAUGCAAGUCGAACGGUAGAGGGGCAACCCUUGAGAGUGGCGAACGGGUGAGUAAUGCAUCGGAACGUGCCCAGUCGUGGGGGAUAACGCAGCGAAAGCUGUGCUAAUACCGCAUGUGAUCUGUGGAUGAAAGCAGGGGACCGCAAGGCCUUGUGCGAUUGGAGCGGCCGAUGUUAGAUUAGCUAGUUGGUAGGGUAAAAGCCUACC